rnacentral:rRNA from 1 species
UACGGAGGGUGCGAGCGUUAAUCGGAAUUACUGGGCGUAAAGCGUGCGUAGGCGGUUUGAUAAGUCGGGUGUGAAAGCCCCGGGCUUAACCUGGGAAUUGCAUUCGAUACUGUCUGACUCGAGUCUGGGAGAGGGAAGCGGAAUUCCGGGUGUAGCGGUGAAAUGCGUAGAUAUCUGGAGGAACACCGGUGGCGAAGGCGGCAUCCUGGACCAACACUGACGCUGAGGAGCGAAAGCCAGGGGAGCAAACGGG